GACGAACGCUGGCGGCGUGCCUAAUACAUGCAAGUCGAACGAGAGCGACCGGUGCUUGCCCUGGUCAAUCUAGUGGCGAACGGGUGAGUAACACGUGGGUAACCUGCCCAUCAGAGGGGGAUAACAUCCGGAAACGGAUGCUAAAACCGCAUAGGUCUUCGAGCCGCAUGGCUUGAAGAGGAAAAGAGGCGCAAGCUUCUGCUGAUGGAUUGACCCGCGGUGCAUUAGCUAGUUGGUGAGGUAACGGCUCACCAAGGCCGUGAUGCAUAGCCGACCUGAGAGGGUGAUCGGCCACAUUGGGACUGAGACACGGCCCAAACUCCUACGGGAGGCAGCAGUAGGGAAUCUUCCGCAAUGGACGCAAGUCUGACGGAGCAACGCCGCGUGAGUGAAGAAGGUUUUCGGAUCGUAAAACUCUGUUGUUAGAGAAGAACAAGUGCUAGAGUAACUGUUAGCUCCUUGACGGUAUCUAACCAGAAAGCCACGGCUAACUACGUG
rnacentral:rRNA from 1 species